rnacentral:rRNA from 1 species
AUUGAACGCUGGCGGCAGGCCUAACACAUGCAAGUCGAACGAGUGGCGGACGGGUGAGUAAUGUCUGGGAAACUGCCUGCUGGAGGGGGAUAACUACUGGAAACGGUCGCUAAUACAGCAUACCAUCAGAUGUGCCCAGAUGGGAUUAGCUUGUUGGUGGGGUAACGGCUCAACCAGGCGACGAGCCCUAGCUGGUCUGGGAGGAUGCCCAGCCACACUGGAACUGAGACACGGUCCAGCAUCCUACGGGAGUCAGCAGUGGGGAAGAUUGCACAAUGGGCGCAAGCCUUAUGCAGCCAUGCCGCGUGUAUGAAGAAGGCCUUCGGGUUGUAAAGUACUUUCAGCGGGGAGGCGUUACCCGCAGAAGAAGCACCGGCUAACUCCGUGCCAGCCGCCGCGGUAAUUC